rfam:Hordeum vulgare subsp. vulgare, WGS project CAJW01000000 data, contig: morex_contig_2549090
CAAAUACUCCCUCCGUCCGGAAAUACUUGUCCUAAAAAUAUAUAAAAUAGAUGUAUUUAUAACUAAAAUAAGUCUAAUUAUAUUUAUUUUUAAGACAAGUAUUUCCGAACGAAGCGAGUAGGAG